UACGUAGGGACCAAGCGUUGUUCGGAUUUACUGGGCGUAAAGGGCGCGUAGGCGGCGUGACAAGUCACGUUGUGAAAUCUCCGGGCUUAACCCGGAACGGCCAAGUGAUACUGUCGUGCUAGAGUGCAGAAGGGGCAAUCGGAAUUCUUGGUGUAGCGGUGAAAUGCGUAGAUAUCAAGAGGAACACCUGAGGUGAAGACGGGUUGCUGGGCUGACACGUGACGCUGACAGCGCGAAAGCUAGGGGAGCAAACGGG
rnacentral:rRNA from 1 species